UACGUAGGUGGCAAGCGUUUGGUCCGGAUUUACUGGGCGUAAAGAGCGCGCAGGCGGUCGUUCAAGUCGCGUGUGAAGCCCCCGGCUCAACUGGGGAGGGUCACGCGAUACUGAUCGGACUGGAAGGCAGGAGAGGGUAGUGGAAUUCCCGGUGUAGUGGUGAAAUGCGUAGAUAUCGGGAGGAACACCCAGUGGCGAAGGCGGCGAUCUGGACAGACAUUGACGCUGAGGUGCGAAAGCGUGGG
rnacentral:rRNA from 1 species